AUUUUGCGUUAGGGAUAGCAGCGGCAUCCUUUUAAUUUUCUGGAGUUUGAAAAUGAACGCUGAAGCAUUUAAAUUAAAAGAUAUAGCGAAUAGCCCGACCUUUU
rnacentral:sRNA from 1 species